rnacentral:rRNA from 1 species
GUCUAACCUGCCCAAUGAAUAGUUUAAUGGCCGCAGUAUUUUGACUGUGCAAAGGUAGCAUAAUCAUUAGUUUCUUAAUUAGGAACUGGAAUGAAAGGUUGAACGAGAAAAUAACUGUCUCUUUAUAAAUUAUUUAGAAUUUUAUUUUUAAGUUAAAAAGCUUAAAUUUUUUUAAAAGACGAGAAGACCCUAUAGAGUUUUAUAUAAUUUUAUUUCAUGGUUUAAAUUGAAUUACAUAAAAAUUUUAUUUAAAUUUAUAUUUGAUUGGGGUGAUUAAAAAAUUUAAUAAACUUUUUUUUUAUAAAAACAUUAAUUUAUGAUUUAUUGAUCCAUUUUUUAUGAUUAUAAGAUUAAAUUACCUUAGGGAUAACAGCGUAAUUUCUUUUUAGAGUUCAAAUCGAUAAAGAAGUUUGCGACCUCGAUGUUGGAUUAAAAUUUAAUUUUGGUGUAGAAGCUAGAAAAAUUAGGUCUGUUCGACCUUUAAAAUUUUACAUGAUCUGAGUUUAAACCGGUGUAAGCCAGGUUGGUUUCUAUCUUUAAAUAUAGUAAAUAUUUUAGUACGAAAGGACCAGAUAUAAGUAAAAUUUAU